rnacentral:rRNA from 1 species
UACGUAGGGACCGAGCGUUAUCCGGAUUCAUUGGGCGUAAAGAGCUCGUAGGCGGCUAUUCAAGUCGAACGUGAAAUCUCGGAGCUCAACGUCCGAGCCUGCGUUCGAUACUGGGUAGCUAGAGUCUGGUAGGGGGAUCUGGAAUUCCUGGUGUAGCGGUGGAAUGCGCAGAUAUCAGGAGGAAUACCGGUGGCGGAAAGCGACUCUCUGGACGG